rnacentral:rRNA from 1 species
AUUGAACGCUGGCGGCAGGCCUAACACAUGCAAGUCGAGCGGAUGAAGGGAGCUUGCUCCUGGAUUCAGCGGCGGACGGGUGAGUAAUGCCUAGGAAUCUGCCUGGUAGUGGGUGAUAACGUCCGGAAACGGGCGCUAAUACCGCAUACGUCCUGAGGGAGAAAGAGGGGGAUCUUCGGACCUCACGCUAUCAGAUGAGCCUAGGUCGGAUUAGCUAGUUGGUGGGGUAAAGGCCUACCAAGGCGACGAUCCGUAACUGGUCUGAGAGGAUGAUCAGUCGCACUGGAACUGAGACACGGUCCAGACUCCUACGGGAGGCAGCAGUGGGGAAUAUUGGACAAUGGGCGAAAGCCUGAUCCAGCCAUGCCGCGUGUGUGAAGAAGGUCUUCGGAUUGUAAAGCACUUUAAGUUGGGAGGAAGGGCAGUAAGUUAAUACCUUGCUGUUUUGACGUUACCAACAGAAUAAGCACCGGCUAACUUCGUG